rnacentral:rRNA from 1 species
CCCUUAGACGUUCUGGGCCGCACGCGCGCUACACUGACCAGUGCAACAAGCAUCCGUCCUUGGCCGACAGGCUCGGGCAAUCUUUGAACGCUGGUCGUGAUGGGGAUAGACUUUUGCAAUUUUUGGUCUUCAACGAGGAAUUCCUAGUAAACGCAAGUCAUCAACUUGCAUUGAUUAUGUCCCUGCCCUUUGUACACACCGCCCGUCGCACCUACCGAUUGAAUGGUCCGGUGAAGCCUCCGGAUUGGCGCGCACCUCGGUGCCGCCGAGAAGUUGGCUAAACCUUACCAUUUAGAGGAAGGUGAAGUCGUAACA